CCAAAUGGGCCAGUGCAAAUCCUACUUGGAUAACUGUGGUAAUUCCAGAGCUAAUACAUGCAACUGAUAUCCCGAAGGCGGUGUUCGUUCUUGCUUGUCUUGCGCUUUCACUGCUCUGACGGAUGCUUUUAUUAGACCAAGCCGCUGAGGACUUGAGGGUUCGCGCUCUCUUGUUUGACUCGUGUGAUGGUGACUCUGGAUAACCAAAUUCUGACAAGCGCACGUACUUCUCUUCUGAGCGAGACGGCGCUGCCACUUUCGAGUGUCUGCCUUAUCAGCUAUCAACCGUUCGUUAUGCGCGACCGAUGGCUUUGACGGGUAACGGGGAAUCAGGGUUCGAUUCCGGAGAGGCAGCCUGAGAGACGGCUACCACGUCCAAGGACGGCAGCAGGCACGCAAAUUACCCAAUCCCAGCAAAUGGGGGAGGUAGUGACGAAAUCUAACGAUGCGGGCGCCCUUUCUGGGGCCCCGCAAUCGGAAUGGGCACUUUCUAAACAACCUGUUGAGAACCUACUGAAGG
rnacentral:rRNA from 1 species